rnacentral:rRNA from 1 species
AAGGAUUUAUGACCAGACUUUUUCUAGGGGGAUCAUCCGGUGUUCUCACCGGUGCACUUCCCCUAGUUGAGGCCAGCAUCGGUUUCUGUCGGGGGAUAAAAGCUUCAGGAAUGUGGCUCCCUCCGGGGAGUGUUAUAGCCUGUUGCAUAAUACCCUGACGGGGACCGAGGUUCGCGCAUUGCAAGGAUGCUGGCGUAAUGGUUAUUAAUCA